rnacentral:rRNA from 1 species
AUGCAGUCGACGGUACGCGGAGAGCUUGCUCUCUGGCGACGAGUGGCGGACGGGUGAGUAACGCGUGGGAAUCUGCCUAGUAGUGGGGGACAACUCGAGGAAACUCGAGCUAAUACCGCAUACGCCCUACGGGGGAAAGCGGGGGGUCUUCGGACCUCGCGCUAUUAGAUGAGCCCGCGUCGGAUUAGCUAGUUGGUGAGGUAAAAGCUCACCAAGGCGACGAUCCGUAGCUGGUCUGAGAGGACGAUCAGCCACACUGGGACUGAGACACGGCCCAGACUCCUACGGGAGGCAGCAGUGGGGAAUAUUGGACAAUGGGGGAAACCCUGAUCCAGCAAUACCGCGUGUGUGAAGAAGGCCUGCGGGUUGUAAAGCACUUUCAGUGAGGAAGAAAAGCCUGGGGUUAAUACCCCCGAGUCUUGACGUUACUCACAGAAGAAGCACCGGCUAACUCCGUGCCAGCAGCCGCGGUAAUACG